rnacentral:rRNA from 1 species
UACGUAGGGUGCGAGCGUUGUCCGGAUUUAUUGGGUUUAAAGGGUGCGUAGGCGGAAAUGUAAGUCAGUGGUGAAAUCCUGCAGCUUAACUGUAGAAUAGCCGUUGAAACUGUGUUUCUUGAGUACAUUUGAGGUAGGCGGAAUGUGGUGUGUAGCGGUGAAAUGCAUAGAUAUACCACAGAACACCGAUUGCGAAGGCAGCUUACUAAACUGUCACUGACGCUGAUGCACGAAAGCGUGGGUAUCAAACAGGAUUAGAUA